rnacentral:rRNA from 1 species
UACGUAGGGGGCUAGCGUUAUCCGGAAUUACUGGGCGUAAAGGGUGCGUAGGUGGUUUCUUAAGUCAGAGGUGAAAGGCUACGGCUCAACCGUAGUAAGCCUUUGAAACUGGGGAACUUGAGUGCAGGAGAGGAGAGUGGAAUUCCUAGUGUAGCGGUGAGAUGCGUAGAUAUUAGGAGGAACACCAGUUGCGAAGGCGGCUCUCUGGACUGUAACUGACACUGAGGCACGAAAGCGUGGGGAGCAAACAGG